UGCAGAAUUCAGUGAAUCAUCUAAUCUUUGAACGCACCUUGCACCCUUUGGUAUCCCCAAAGGGUAUGCUCGUUUGAGUGUCAUU
rnacentral:rRNA from 1 species